GGGUUGUGAGGUUAAGCGACUAAGCGUACACGGUGGAUGCCCUGGCAGUCAGAGGCGAUGAAGGACGUGCUAAUCUGCGAUAAGCGCCGGUAAGGUGAUAUGAACCGUUAUAACCGGCGAUUUCCGAAUGGGGAAACCCAGUGUGAUUCGUCACACUAUCAUUAACUGAAUCCAUAGGUUAAUGAGGCGAACCGGGGGAACUGAAACAUCUAAGUACCCCGAGGAAAAGAAAUCAACCGAGAUUCCCCCAGUAGCGGCGAGCGAACGGGGAGGAGCCCAGAGCCUGAAUCAGCAUGUGUGUUAGUGGAAGCGUCUGGAAAGGCGCGCGAUACAGGGUGACAGCCCCGUACACAAAAGCGCAUGUGCUGUGAGCUCGAUGAGUAGGGCGGGACACGUGGUAUCCUGUCUGAAUAUGGGGGGACCAUCCUCCAAGGCUAAAUACUCCUGACUGACCGAUAGUGAACCAGUACCGUGAGGGAAAGGCGAAAAGAACCCCGGCGAGGGGAGUGAAAAAGAACCUGAAACCGUGUACGUACAAGCAGUGGGAGCACAGGUUUACCUGUGUGACUGCGUACCUUUUGUAUAAUGGGUCAGCGACUUAUAUUCUGUAGCAAGGUUAACCGUAUAGGGGAGCCGGAGGGAAACCGAGUCUUAACCGGGCGUUAAGUUGCAGGGUAUAGACCCGAAACCCGGUGAUCUAGCCAUGGGCAGGUUGAAGGUUGGGUAACACUAACUGGAGGACCGAACCGACUAAUGUUGAAAAAUUAGCGGAUGACCUGUGGCUGGGGGUGAAAGGCCAAUCAAACCGGGAGAUAGCUGGUUCUCCCCGAAAGCUAUUUAGGUAGCGCCUCGUGAAUUCAUCUCCGGGGGUAGAGCACUGUUUCGGCUAGGGGGCCAUCCCGGCUUACCAACCCGAUGCAAACUGCGAAUACCGGAGAAUGUUAUCACGGGAGACACACGGCGGGUGCUAACGUCCGUCGUGAAGAGGGAAACAACCCAGACCGCCAGCUAAGGUCCCAAAGUCAUGGUUAAGUGGGAAACGAUGUGGGAAGGCCCAGACAGCCAGGAUGUUGGCUUAGAAGCAGCCAUCAUUUAAAGAAAGCGUAAUAGCUCACUGGUCGAGUCGGCCUGCGCGGAAGAUGUAACGGGGCUAAACCAUGCACCGAAGCUGCGGCAGCGACACUCAGGUGUUGUUGGGUAGGGGAGCGUUCUGUAAGCCUGUGAAGGUGGCCUGUGAGGGUUGCUGGAGGUAUCAGAAGUGCGAAUGCUGACAUAAGUAACGAUAAAGCGGGUGAAAAGCCCGCUCGCCGGAAGACCAAGGGUUCCUGUCCAACGUUAAUCGGGGCAGGGUGAGUCGACCCCUAAGGCGAGGCCGAAAGGCGUAGU
rnacentral:rRNA from 1 species